rnacentral:rRNA from 1 species
UGGGUAACCUGCCUCAAAGAGGGGAAUAGCCUCCCGAAAGGGAGAUUAAUACCGCAUAAUAUGUUUUAAUCGCAUGAUUUUAACAUCAAAGGAUUUUCUUAGGAAAUUCCACUUUGAGAUGGACCCGCGGCGCAUUAGCUAGUUGGUGAGGUAACGGCUCACCAAGGCAACGAUGCGUAGCCGACCUGAGUGGGUGAUCGGCCACAUUGGAACUGAGACACGGUCCAGACUCCGUAGGGAGG